rfam:Salmo salar isolate Sally breed double haploid chromosome ssa26, whole genome shotgun sequence.
ACUCACUAAUACUGUAAGUUGCUCUGGAUAAGAGCGUCUGCUAAAUGACUAAAA